GGGAAUGUAGCUCAGUAGGUAGAGUGCUUGCCUGGCAUGCAGGGAGCACUAGGUUAUAUCCCUAGCGCCCU
rnacentral:tRNA from 1 species